rnacentral:lncRNA from 1 species
ACGCGUACCGCCCCGUUCCCCCACCGUUUCCGACCCGGCAGCUUCUGGAAAACAGCGCCCUUGAUCCUCCCGGGCAGGAAGAAGGGCCAAGGAAGGGGUUAGAAGGGAAAGAGUUAGGAUUUCCCAAGAACCAGCCCUGAAGGCCUGGAGGUGGGGGAUUUCGCUUCUUAGUUGGACGGGAGCCCCUUGGGUUCCUCACUUCUUAGCCCGCGCCCUGCGGGAGGAGCGACUCUGCUUGUCCCUCAAGAUGCUUGUGAAGGUGCCCGCUGCGCUCUGACACCGGCGAUCUCUUAGAAUGAAGACCAUCCCUGGGCAAAAUUGCGAAGAAGUGGAAGGAAAGAAGAGAAAGAAGAAGAAAGGAAUAUAGGAUCUUCCUCAGCAUCAGUAAUUUCUUUGGAAAGAAUUGGGGAGAAAGAAGAUAUACAUCUUUAAAAGGAAAUUGUCACUACCUCGCUA